UACGGGGGGAGCAAGCGUUGUUCGGAUUUACUGGGCGUAAAGGGCGCGUAGGCGGUCGUGACAAGUCACUUGUGAAAUCUCCGGGCUUAACUCGGAACGGUCAAGUGAUACUGUCGGACUAGAGUACAGAAGGGGCAACUGGAAUUCUCGGUGUAGCGGUGAAAUGCGUAGAUAUCGAGAGGAACACCAGUGGCGAAGGCGGCUCACUGGCCCGAUACUGACGCUGAGGCACGAAAGCGUGGGGAGCAAACGGG
rnacentral:rRNA from 1 species